GCUGGCAGCUAGCUCUCUGUAACUCUCACAUGGUUGCUCACUGAAGCUAAGCAGGGUUUCAUCCGGUAAGUACCUGGAUGGGAGACCACAUGGGAAAGCGAGGUUGCUGCCGGAA
ensembl:rRNA 5S_rRNA 5S ribosomal RNA